rnacentral:rRNA from 1 species
UACGGGGGGGGCAAGCGUUGUUCGGAAUUACUGGGCGUAAAGGGCUCGUAGGCGGCCAACUAAGUCGGAUGUGAAAUCCCCAGGCUCAACUUGGGAACUGCAUCCGAUACUGGAUGGCUUGAAUCCGGGAGAGGGAUGCGGAAUUCCAGGUGUAGCGGUGAAAUGCGUAGAUAUCUGGAGGAACACCGGUGGCGAAGGCGGCAUCCUGGACCGGCAUUGACGCUGAUGAGCGAAAGCCAGGGGAGCAAACGGG